rnacentral:lncRNA from 1 species
UUGUUUGAAGGAGGUGGUGACGGGUUGGUUUAUGUUUUUAGGUGGUCUCGGCUAGAGGCUGGGGUUCGAGUAUCGAUGGAAAGGGCGAAGGUGAGAGGUGGAUUCGGUGAUGAUGCAAAAUCGAAGGCGAUUGUCGGUUUCUUGAUAAGUAAGGAUGGAAAGGUCUCGAACCUCAACUAGAGGGCAAAUAACACAACAACGGAUUUUUUAUGUUUCCUUUCUUUGUUGCAGGUGUUUUUUGAUGGAGAAGAUGAAGAGCAGCAGUAGAUUUUUUCUUCUGUUUGUGAUGGAGGUUGUGUAAAGGAGUUCUAAAGUGGUGGCUAUGGAUUUGGUUUGUUUUGGUUCUAGAUCAACAAAGGAGUGGCCCCAAUGGUGGGUUUCUCGAUAAAAGCUCUUCUCUCUUUUCUUCUUCUUCGUGAUUUGUUUCAAUCGACAGAACAUGAAUCAAAUACAUACGAUAGUUUCGAUGAAUCGGAAGGGCGCAUCAACACACAAUCGACUGGGUUUACCUUUACUAGUAGAUCCCAAUCAUCCAUUCGAUUGGGGGAAUUGAUUUGGGGAGAAAUUCAAUUUUGUUGAUGAAGGAGGAUACAGUCGACUGGUGUAAUGGUUUAGGGGAAAGUAGG